rnacentral:rRNA from 1 species
UGGAGGCAGCAGUGGGGAAUAUUGGGCAAUGGACGCAAGUCUGACCCAGCCAUGCCGCGUGGAGGAUGAAAGUCCUCUGGAUUGUAAACUUCUUUUAUUUGGGAAGAAACUCUUCUGUUCUCAGAAGACUGACGGUACCAGAUGAAUAAGCACCGGCUAACUCCGUGCCAGCAGCCGCGGUAAUACGGAGGGUGCAAGCGUUAUCCGGAUUCACUGGGUUUAAAGGGUGCGUAGGCGGGCAGGUAAGUCAGUGGUGAAAUCUCCGAGCUUAGCUUGGAAACUGCCAUUGAUACUAUCUGUCUUGAAUGUUGUGGAGGUGAGCGGAAUAUGUCAUGUAGCGGUGAAAUGCUUAGAUAUGACAUAGAACACCUAUUGCGAAGGCAGCUCACUACGCAAAUAUUGACGCUGAGGCACGAAAGCGUGGGGAUCAAACAGGAUUAGAUACCCGAGUAGUCCG